rnacentral:rRNA from 1 species
AUUGAACGCUGGCGGUAUGCUUAACACAUGCAAGUCGAACGGUAACAGGCCUUCGGGCGCUGACGAGUGGCGGACGGGUGAGUAACGCGUAGGAAUCUGCCUCAUAGUGGGGGACAACGUGGGGAAACUCACGCUAAUACCGCAUACGCCCUACGGGGGAAAGCGGGGGAGUCUUCGGACCUCGCGCUAUGAGAUGAGCCUGCGUUAGAUUAGCUAGUUGGUAGGGUAAAGGCCUACCAAGGCGACGAUCUAUAGCUGGUCUGAGAGGACGAUCAGCCACACUGGGACUGAGACACGGCCCAGACUCCUACGGGAGGCAGCAGUGGGGAAUAUUGGACAAUGGGCGCAAGCCUGAUCCAGCAAUACCGCGUGUGUGAAGAAGGCCUUAGGGUUGUAAAGCACUUUCAAUUGGGAGGAAAACCUGCGGUCAAUACCGCAGCUUGACAUUACCUUUAGAAGAAGACACCGGCUAACUCCGUGCCAGCAGCCGCGGUAAU